rnacentral:pre_miRNA from 1 species
UCCGGAAAUACUUGUCAUCAAAAUGGAUAAAAGGGAUGUAUCUAGAUGUAUUUUAGUUUUAGAUACAUCCCUUUUUGUCCAUUUUGAUGACAAGUAUUUUCGGA